GAGUAGCCUACUACUAAAAAUGGAUUUUUGAAUGAGUCUGCUCCUGUAAUUGCAUCGAUUUCUUUAAUUUAGAAGUAUCUGACUGUAUCAUCGCUGAGGAAGCCUCCUCUUUCAUGGAUUACUCUCAGGGAUUACUGAAUGAAGCCCUACAGGCUAAUGGUAUGCUCUGCCAUAGGGCUUGAAUGCAUCAAACAACACAGAGAGCCCAAACUGGACUGUCAACAAGUUACCAUUUCCAACAGCAUAUAAAAGAUCAUUUCUUUACAUCUCACAUGCUGGAGGACUGGAUGGUUAUUUGAAAAUGUAAAUGUAGCAGAGUUAGGAACAUGUAAUUUUCCUUUAUCCAACUGAACACAAUGUUACUUAAACAAACAAACAAUAUCUAGCAUCCGCAAUCUGUAACAGUAAUGAUGUGCCUUUCAUCAGUUGGCUUUUUAGAGGGUUUGAUUUUUUAUGGAUAUAGGCAGUGAUGUACUUGUACUCUUGUACUCUUGCUGUUACUUGUGUAAUUUAAUCAAUAUGCUUCCAUGGAAACCACUUUUCAUCAUCUGAGCUGUUCGUUAGCAUGAUUGGUGAGACAUGUGUUUGACACUUAGUUGUGUGUAUGAGGCAGAGGAUCCACCUGCUGCUUGUUGAAAAUGUACUGCAUGUAUUAGGAGAGGCGAUCAGCAAUUAGGACAAAUGAAAAUUCAUCUCCUUAAUGAAGCACAAACACAGCAGGCACAAGGGCGAUGCAUUGAGUGGCGCUAUGCCUCAAUGCACAUUCAUAGUGCCUGAUGUACUGAUUAUUUAAAUAGAUUUUAUAAAAAUUCAGUGCAAAGCAAAUUAAUUUCAUUAAUUAGAAUGUAAAGCAAUGUGAUAGAAAAAUAUCAGCGAGAAUCAAGGGGAAGGUGUACAAGACAGUGGUGAGACCGGCCAUGCUGUAUGGUUUAGAGACAGUGUCACUGAGGAAGAGACAGGAGACAGAGCUGGAGGUAGCAGAGCUGAAGAUGUUGAGGUUCUCUUUGGGAGUGACACGGUUGGACAGGAUUAGGAAAGAGAACAUCAGAGGGACAGCUCAUGUUGGACGUUUGGGGGACAAAGUUAGGGAGGCCAGAUUAAGAUGGUUUGGACAUGUUGAGAGGACGGAGAGUGAGUAUAUUGUUAGGAGAAUGUUGGACAUGGAGGAGGCAAAGAGGAAGGCCAAAGAGGAGGUAUAUGGAUGUAAUAAAUGAGGAUAUGAAGCUAGUGGGUGCAAGUGUUGAGGAUGCAGAAGAUAGGGAUAGGUGGAGAGAGAUGAUUCGCUGUGAUGACCCCUGAAGGGAAAAGCCAAAAGAAGAAGAAGAAUUAGAAUGUAAAGCAAGAUUUCAUGAAACAAAACUAGGCAUAGUUUCCAGUCACCACAAACAGCCAAGAAUAACAGUCAGUGGUCAUGAUAUCACAAUGUUUGUUCCAUUUGAGGUUUUAGUGACUUUAGCCACAUCUGACAGUUAGAUAUAAAACCCCAAAAGAUAUACAUAUCAAAGGCUUACAGGAGUCAGACAAAAACAGGUUAGCUCUUCAUGUGACAGACAGGAUAAAAAUACUGUUUUUAAACAUGUGUCUGGAAUUUCACCUUAAAACUAAGAGAAUGGUAGCUGUGCCCAUGUCAACAUUUCAAAACAAGAUCAAACCUGACUCUUAGACUGCUUAAGCCUGUAAAGCCUUUGCUAAUAAUCGCUUUAGGGCGAUUAUUAAUCUAAAAUCAUCAAUUUCCCAAGGCAAGAGCGGUACAUCGGUCUUUUGGAAAAUGUGUGAAAUCUUUGUGAUCAAAGGAAAUGAAAUAUUUAUGAUUAUAAAAAAAUUAUAAUUUAAUGUUCAUUGUGGAGAUCUUUUGUUUGUUACUUUGAAGGCACUCUAAAAAAAAAAACAGAGCAUAUGACAUAGACAGGAUUUUAAGUAACACUCUCUAGGAAGAACUAUUAACUAUUUAAAGAUCCCCUGAGGAACCCUUUGUUGUAAGAGUGUAAACAAAUUGUGUGGUUUUUUAGUCAAAGAGUUUGCCAAAGAGCUUGUGAAUGAUUGUUCUAUAUUUGUGCUGUAAUAUUGGAUAUUAUUUCUUUUAGAAAAUCACUGUAACAAUUGUUUUUUCCCCCUAUCAUCACUAUCACUAUACAUGUGAAAUAAAAUUCCUCUCUAUUUUAAU